CCUACGGGAGGCAGCAGUGGGGAAUAUUGGACAAUGGGGGCAACCCUGAUCCAGCCAUGCCGCGUGUGUGAAGAAGGCCCUCGGGUUGUAAAGCACUUUCAGUGAGGAAGAACGCCUGGUGGUUAAUACCCAUCAGGAAAGACAUCACUCACAGAAGAAGCACCGGCUAACUCCGUGCCAGCAGCCGCGGUAAUACGGAGGGCGCGAGCGUUAAUCGGAAUUACUGGGCGUAAAGCGCGCGUAGGUGGCUUGAUAAGCCGGUUGUGAAAGCCCCGGGCUCAACCUGGGAACGGCAUCCGGAACUGUCAAGCUAGAGUGCAGGAGAGGAAGGUAGAAUUCCCGGUGUAGCGGUGAAAUGCGUAGAGAUCGGGAGGAAUACCAGUGGCGAAGGCGGCCUUCUGGACCGACACUGACACUGAGGUGCGAAAGCGUGGGUAGCAAACAGGAUUAGAUACCCUGGUAGUC
rnacentral:rRNA from 1 species